UCUCUCACACUCUUAUCUUCAACAAAAAAUCGGAGGCCUUCCCCCUUGGUAGCUAGCCGUUGCUGAUGGUCUCAAAGAAGAAAUAGAGAGAAAGACUUUUCCCCAUGGAAAACCCCCAGAGUCGUCCAUAAUUCCCCCUUCUCUAACAAAAAACAGACCCGUCUUCAAGAACAAUUCCCCCCUUUAGACAAACGCUGGCCGCCUCCAAAAUUUCCUCUCUAAUCUAGCUCUCCUCUCAAUAUUUAUUCCGCAUUAGAUUCCCUCAUUUUCUUACCCAUUCUCAGAAAACUCUCAAAUUCCAUAUCUGAGGAAAACAACUCCGAAAACUAAAGAAAAAGUUCAAAAAAAGAGAGUCAAAAGUUGUUUUCAAUUUCAAUUGGUUGUUGCAUAUUUUCGGGGUUAAAAGCUUUUUUAAUCGAAGAAAUUACUGUUUGGUACUGGUCGAUUUUGCCAUGGAGUGCUGCCAUUGUUGUUGUUGUCACGUUGAGAUUCAUUCGGCCCUUUUGUCUAGCCUUUAUUUUGCGUUUUUAGUCAAUUCUCGCACAGCUAGGUAUGUAUUCCAACUUGCAUACCCAUAUUUGAUUUGUUAUGAGAUUAUGACCAUAGUAUUAACUUCUGAUGUCUCUUGAUUUGUUAUUGUGGAUCAUACUCCAUGAGCUAAUGUAUGAAACUUUCGUAUGUAUUGACUCCAAAAUCAAUAUGUUAUCAUGCCUUCAUUAGAUUAUUAUAUGCAAUAUAUACUACAUAGAUGUUAGGAAAGGAGAAACUCGUGAUUUUAAUGCUAAUGGCUUUGCAAACUUGUCCAUCACUGUUUUAGGUCAAUCAUUUAGGUUUAAAAUAGUGACAAAGGUGUUUGGUGUAAGUCUAUAUCGAAUAUUACAUGCUUUUGUUCUUUAUAAAAUUGGUGUGAAUAAAAUAUAUAUUUUACAAUUUUAUAACGACUCGGUCAGUCUUUUUAAGAAUUAAUGCCCUGAUACCCUAUUAACUACUUUUUCGUAUUUAUUUCUGCUAUUUUAAUUUGUCGGGAUGUUCGAUUUUGAGUUACGGAGAUUUUUGGGAUACUUAGUCCCGAAAUGAUAGCUUAAGUUUAGAAAUUUGACCGCAGUCAGAAUAGUGUGAAGACAAACUUGGAAUGGAAUUUCGAUGGUUUCGUUUGCUUUGUUGGGUGAUUUCAGGCUUAGGGGCGUGUUCGGAUUGUAUUUUGGAGGUCCGUAAUGUUUAAUGUGACGUGUGUACAAAAUUUCAGGUCAUUUGGACAAGGUUUGAUAGACUUUUUGGUCAAAAGCAUAAAUUUAGAGCUUUGAAGUUCUUAGGCUUGAAUCCAUAGUUGAUUUAUCGUUUCGAUGUUGUUUUAGGUGUUUUAAGGAUUGAUAUAAGUUUGGACAGUGGUAUUAGACUUGUUUGUGUUUUUGGUUGAGGUCUCGAGGGCCUCAGGAUGGUUUGGGAAGGAUACCAAGAGAUCCCGGGGAUACCAAGAGAUCCUCGGCAAUCAUCCAUGUUACAAGCGGUGUUUCCUUGUGUUUGCCUUUAUUUCUUUUUCUGUUAUUGUAUUCUUAUCAUCCUAUAUAGACUCUUACGGUAGAUUCUUAGAUAUACUAUUUAUCUUAACCUGUAAUUUUUAUUAUUAUUAUUUAUCUCAGUAGGGCCCUGACCUUCCUCGUCACUACCCGACCGGGGUUAGGCUUGUAACUUACUGAGUACCGAUAUGGUGUACUCAUGCCCUUUCUGCGCAUGUUUUUCAUAUGUAGAUCCAAGAACCUCUACCCAGGCUCAUCACUCUUGAGGUAGGGAGAUUCUUCGGAGACUUCGAGAUACAUCUUCAACGUCCACAGACCAAGGAGUCUCUAUCUUUAUUCUACCAUGUAGUGUUAGUUUUUCCAUCUCACUGUUAAUGUAGACAUUCUGGAGAUUAGAGCACUUUAAUGUAUUUCUUCUAGCUUGUGUUCUCCGUGAGUUUUCGAGUUUUGGGAUAGUGUUGUAAGAUUUUGAGAUGUUGAGCUGUAUAUGCUGAGUGAAAUCUUAUAUUUCGUUUUCUUUUGGUUAUUCUUGGCUUUAAAUUUAUAUUUUCACAAGUUUUGAUUAUUUUUCGCACUUGUUAGGCUUACCUAGUCGUAGAGACUAGGUGCCGUCAUGAGAGUUCACGGAGGGAAAACUAGGGUCGUG
rnacentral:lncRNA from 1 species